rnacentral:rRNA from 1 species
AGUGAACGCUGGCGGUAGGCCUAACACAUGCAAGUCGAACGGCAGCACAGUAAGAGCUUGCUCUUACGGGUGGCGAGUGGCGGACGGGUGAGGAAUACAUCGGAAUCUACUUUUUCGUGGGGGGUAACGUAGGGAAACUUACGCUAAUACCGCAUACGACCUACGGGUGAAAGCAGGGGAUCUUCGGACCUUGCGCGAUUGAAUGAGCCGGUGUCGGAUUAGCUAGUUGGCGGGGUAAAGGCCCACCAAGGCGACGAUCCGUAGCUGGUCUGAGAGGAUGAUCAGCCACACUGGAACUGAGACACGGUCCAGACUCCUACGGGAGGCAGCAGUGGGGAAUAUUGGACAAUGGGCGCAAGCCUGAUCCAGCCAUACCGCGUGGGUGAAGAAGGCCUUCGGGUUGUAAAGCCCUUUUGUUGGGAAAGAAAAGCAGCAGGUUAAUACCCCGCUGUUCUGACGGUACCCAAAGAAUAAGCACCGGCUAACUUCGUG